rnacentral:snoRNA from 1 species
GGAGGAGGUGUUGAUUCAUUUGGACGAUCAAAGGUUAAAUCAAAAGACCAUUCAUUAAUUUUCACAUCCUCC